GCAACUUUGCGGCCUGCUUACACAUGCAGUCGACGAUGAAGCCUUUCGGGGUGGAUUAGUGGCGAACGGGUGAGUAACACGUGGGCAAUCUGCCCUUCACUCUGGGACAAGCCCUGGAAACGGGGUCUAAUACCGGAUAUCACUUCUGCUCGCAUGGGUGGGGGUUGAAAGCUCCGGCGGUGAAGGAUGAGCCCGCGGCCGGUGAGGUAGUGGCUCACCAAGGCGACGACGGGUAGCCGGCCUGAGAGGGCGACCGGCCACACUGGGACUGAGACACGGCCCAGACUCCUACGGGAGGCAGCAGUGGGAUGGGCGGAAGCCUGAUGCAGCGACGCCGCGUGAGGGAUGACGGCCUUCGGGUUGUAAACCUCUUUCAGCAGGGAAGAAGCGCAAGUGCUGCAGAAGAAGCGCCGGCUAACUACGUGCCAGCAGCCGCGGUAAUACGUAGGCGCAAGCGUUGUCCGGAAUAUUGGGCGUAAAGAGCUCGUAGGCGGCUUGUCACGUCGGGUGUGAAAGCCGGGGCUUAACCCCGGGUGCAUUCGAUACGGGCUGGCUGGAGUGUGGUAGGGGAGACGGAAUUCCUGGUGUAGCGUGAAAUGCGCAGAUAUCAGGAGGAACACCGGUGGCGAAGCGGAUCUCUGGGCUGAGGAGCGAAAGCGUGGGGAGCGAACAGGAUUAAUACCCUGGUAGUCCACGCCGUAAACGGUGGGAACUAGGGUUGGCGACAUUCCACGUCUCGGUGCCGCAGCUAACGCAUUAAGUUCCCCCGCCUGGGAGUACGGCCGCAAGGCUAGGAAUUGACGGGGGCCCGCACAAGCAGCGGAGAUGUGGCUUAUUCGACGCAACGCGAAGAACCUUACCAAGGCUUGACAUACACCGGAAACGGCCAGAGAUGGUCGCCCCCUUUGUACAGGUUGCAUGGCUUCGUCAGCUCGUGUCGUGAGAUGUUGGGUUAAGUCCCGCAACGAGCGCACCCUUGUUCUGUGUUGCCAGCAUGCCUUUCGGGGUGAUGGGGACUCACAGGAGACCGCGGGGUCAACUCGGAGGAAGGUGGGGACGACGUCAAGUCAUCAUGCCCCUUAUGUCUUGGCUGCACACGUGCUACAAUGGCCGGUACAAUGAGCUGCGAUACGUGGAGCGAAUUCAAAAAGCCGGUCUCAGUUCGGAUUGGGGUCUGCAACUCGACCCCAUGAAGUCGGAGUGCUAGUAAUCGCAGAUCAGCAGUGCUGCGGUGAAUACGUUCCCGGGCCUUGUACACACCGCCCGUCACGUCACGAAAGUUGGUAACACCCGAAGCCGCCAACCCCCUUGUGGGGAGGGAGCUGUCGAAGGUGGGACUAGCGAUUGGGACGAAUAAAAAAUGCCAGGAGGCC
rnacentral:rRNA from 1 species